rnacentral:rRNA from 1 species
GACGAGCGCUGGCGGCGUGCUUAACACAUGCAAGUCGAACGGAAAGGCCUCUUUCGGGGGGUACUCGAGUGGCGAACGGGUGAGUAACACGUGAGUAACCUGCCCUUGACUUUGGGAUAACUUCAGGAAACUGGGGCUAAUACCGGAUAGGAGCUCCUGCUGCAUGGUGGGGGUUGGAAAGUUUCGGCGGUUGGGGAUGGACUCGCGGCUUAUCAGCUUGUUGGUGGGGUAGUGGCUUACCAAGGCUUUGACGGGUAGCCGGCCUGAGAGGGUGACCGGCCACAUUGGGACUGAGAUACGGCCCAGACUCCUACGGGAGGCAGCAGUGGGGAAUAUUGCACAAUGGGUGGAAGCCUGAUGCAGCAACGCCGUGUGCGGGAUGACGGCCCUCGGGUUGUAAACCGCUUUCGCUCAUGACGAAGCUUUGUGUGACGGUAGUGGGUAAAGAAGCACCGGCUAACUACGUG